rfam:Myotis lucifugus cont2.49416, whole genome shotgun sequence.
GGUGAUUCUCAGGUGAUGCAUCCCAGAAUCGGGCUCCCUCCUCUCUGGUUCUGGGUGCGUCACCCGAGAACCACA